rnacentral:misc_RNA from 1 species
AUUUAAAGUGUACGGCCCAUUCAACACACCCACGUUUUCAUAUUUGGACAGCGAACUCUUAUUAACCAACACCAUGUGAUGAGCAACAGAGAAAAUAUCAGUUGAGGAAUAUUUUAUUUUCAAAAAUGUCAACGGAUUCUUUAGACGAUCCAAAUUGGGCAGUUCAACAGCUCAAAGUAGAAUUUCGGUUUAGGAGAAAUUCUGCAUUGCAGAUCAAAGUGGAGAAGGCAAUAUGAUGACCAACAUUUCUGUUUAGGAGGGAUAUUCAUUAUUUAUGGGGUUUUUCCUUGAUAAUAGGGAUCUCUGGUUGGUUAGAUGCGUGUAAUGAUGGCUGAAAAUGAUAUGGGAACACUGACCUUACAGAGGAAAAUGAUACACAGGAUACAGAUAAUGAUGACAGGAUAUUGAUUCCUCAAAUACACCCAACUUAAAUUCACCGAUUCUGUCUAUAUACAGGACCCGAACCCCCGGUACCAGUACACAGAGUCUGAACCCUUUAUAGUACUGUGUGUGUCCUAGAUUAUACUCAGGAAUCACCAUCAAAUAUUAAUGUGAUCAUCUCCCAUUAGUGAUGCACUGAGGGCUUUUCUUUCGUACAUCACACGUAACAGUUAUGAUAUUAACCCUAUCCAAUUCCACAUAUAUUCAUUAGCAUGAUAGAGAAAAUAAAAUAUUCUAGUGACUUGGAACAACUUCAAUAUGCACUGAAAUAAACAAGAAUUAUUCAAUUCUUUAUUGCAGUAAGUUUUUUGAGAACUUGUGCCAAUGCAAUAAAAAAUGGCAGCGUAGGAAAACAUCGUACUUUAUCAUUUUCAUAUUUUUGUCAAAAUGAAUUCUUUUCUGACAUUAUGGGUAAUUCUGUGCUAGGUACAUUUUCUUUAGAUAUACAACAUUAUCUAAAGGGAUUGGUGGCUAAGCAUUCUAUUCAGAGUGAUUUUGAAAACUUUACACUUUCUUAAAAGCUAAAUACACGCACACAAAAAUGAAAACAUUGAAUAUUUCAAUUUACAAUCCUUCAGAUAAGAUAUAUGCAAAUAGCAUCUUUGGUAUUUACUCCAAAAAUAUAUGCUGAAGUUUGUUUAUGCUUGUACUGUUAUUUAAAUCCCUCCAAAAAUGGGGAGCAGUGUUUACAAUAAAAUUUAAACCCACGAUC